GACGAACGCUGGCGGCGUGCCUAAUACAUGCAAGUAGAACGCACAGUUUAUACCGUAGCUUGCUACACCAUAAACUGUGAGUUGCGAACGGGUGAGUAACGCGUAGGUAACCUGCCUGGUAGCGGGGGGUAACUAUUGGAAACGAUAGCUAAUACCGCAUAAUAUUGAUUAUUGCAUGAUAAUUGAUUGAAAGAUGCUAUUGCAUCACUACCAGAUGGACCUGGGUUGUAUUAGCUAGUAGGUGAGGUAACGGCUCACCUAGGCGACGAUACAUAGCCGACCUGGAAGGGUGACCGGCCACAGAGGGACUGAGACAAGGCUCAGACUGCGACAGGAGGCAGCAGUAGGGAAUAGUCGGCAAUGGAGGAAAGUGUGACAGAGGAAAGACGCGUGAGUGAAGAAGGUGUUCGGAGGGUAAAGCUCUGUUGUAAGAGAAGAACGGGUGGGAGAGAGGAAAGGUCACACUGUGACGGUAUCUGACCAGAAAGGGACGGCUAACUACGUG
rnacentral:rRNA from 1 species